rnacentral:rRNA from 1 species
UGCAGUCGAGCGGUAUAUAGUGGAAUGAAACUUCGGUCGAGUGAAGCUAUAGAGAGCGGCGGACGGGUGAGUAACGCGUAGGCAACCUGCCCCAUACAGAGGGAUAGCCUCGGGAAACCGGGAUUAAAACCUCAUAACGCGAGGAGUUCACAUGGACUUCUCGCCAAAGAUUCAUCGGUAUGGGAUGGGCCUGCGUCUGAUUAGCUAGUUGGUGAGGUAACGGCUCACCAAGGCGACGAUCAGUAGCCGACCUGAGAGGGUAAUCGGCCACAUUGGAACUGAGACACGGUCCAAACUCCUACGGGAGGCAGCAGUGGGGAAUAUUGCACAAUGGGCGAAAGCCUGAUGCA